rnacentral:rRNA from 1 species
CCUACGGGUGGCAGCAGUAGGGAAUAUUGCUCAAUGGGGGAAACCCUGAAGCAGCAACGCCGCGUGGAGGAUGAAGGUUUUCGGAUUGUAAACUCCUUUUGUUAGAGAAGAUAAUGACGGUAUCUAACGAAUAAGCACCGGCUAACUCCGUGCCAGCAGCCGCGGUAAUACGGAGGGUGCAAGCGUUACUCGGAAUCACUGGGCGUAAAGCGCGCGCAGGCGGGAUAGCAAGUCAGAUGUGAAAUCCUAUGGCUUAACCAUAGAACUGCUUUUGAAACUGCUAGUCUGGAGUGUAGGAGAGGUAGGCGGAAUUCUUGGUGUAGGGGUAAAAUACGUAGAGAUCAAGAGGAAUAC